CUUCAUGUCCAGGAUUUCUGGAGUCUCCUGAUUAAAGAAAAGGAAAAUGAUGUUGCCCAGUUCUUACCAUGGCAGAUUCAGGGGUGGGAUUAUCUGCCCGCUUUCGUUUCCUCUGUAA